rnacentral:rRNA from 1 species
AUUGAACGCUGGCGGCAUGCUUUACACAUGCAAGUCGAGCGGCAGCGCGGGGGCAACCCUGGCGGCGAGCGGCGAACGGGUGAGUAAUGCAUCGGAACGUAUCCUCGAGUGGGGGAUAACCCAGCGAAAGUUGGGCUAAUACCGCAUGAGCUCUGAGGAGGAAAGCGGGGGACCUGCGAGGGCCUCGCGCUGGAGGAGCGGCCGAUGUCCGAUUAGCUCGUUGGUGGGGUAAAGGCUUACCAAGGCGACGAUCGGUAGCUGGUCUGAGAGGAUGAUCAGCCACACUGGGACUGAGACACGGCCCAGACUCCUACGGGAGGCAGCAGUGGGGAAUUUUGGACAAUGGGGGCAACCCUGAUCCAGCCAUGCCGCGUGAGUGACGAAGGCCUUCGGGUUGUAAAGCUCUUUCGGACGGAACGAAAUGGGCGGGACUAAUACUCCUGUCUGAUGACGGUACCGUAAGAAGAAGCACCGGCUAACUACGUG